ensembl:piRNA 21ur-6572 ncRNA
UUCUUCAUUGUUUUCGUUUGA